rnacentral:rRNA from 1 species
UACGUAGGGGCAAGCGUUGUCCGGAUUUAUUGGGCGUAAAGAGCGUGUAGGCGGCCGUACAGGUCAGCUGUGAAAACUCGAGGCUCAACCUCGAGACGUCGGUUGAAACCGUACGGCUAGAGUCCGGAAGAGGAGAGUGGAAUUCCCGGUGUAGCGGUGAAAUGCGCAGAUAUCGGGAAGAACACCCGUGGCGAAGGCGGCUCUCUGGGACGGUACUGACGCUGAGACGCGAAAGCGUGGGAGC